rnacentral:rRNA from 1 species
GACGAACGCUGGCGGCGUGCCUAAUACAUGCAAGUUGAGCGCUGAAGGUUGGUACUUGUACCAACUGGAUGAGCAGCGAACGGGUGAGUAACGCGUGGGGAAUCUGCCUUUGAGCGGGGGACGACAUUUGGAAACGAAUGCUAAUACCGCAUAAAAACUUUAAACACAAGUUUUAAGUUUGAAAGAUGCAAUUGCAUCACUCAAAGAUGAUCCCGCGUUGUAUUAGCUAGUUGGUGAGGUAAAGGCUCACCAAGGCGAUGAUACAUAGCCGACCUGAGAGGGUGAUCGGCCACAUUGGGACUGAGACACGGCCCAAACUCCUACGGGAGGCAGCAGUAGGGAAUCUUCGGCAAUGGACGAAAGUCUGACCGAGCAACGCCGCGUGAGUGAAGAAAGGUUUUCGG